rnacentral:rRNA from 1 species
CCUACGGGAGGCAGCAGUGGGGAAUAUUGGGCAAUGGGCGAAAGCCUGACCCAGCAACGCCGCGUGAGGGAAGAAGGUUCUCGGAUUGUAAACCUCUGUCCUUGGUGACGAAAAAAAUGACGGUAGCCAAGGAGGAAGCCCCGGCUAACUACGUGCCAGCAGCCGCGGUAAUACGUAGGGGGCAAGCGUUGUCCGGAAUGACUGGGCGUAAAGGGCGUGUAGGCGGCCGAUUAAGUCUGGAGUGAAAGUCCUGCUUUCAAGGUGGGAAUUGCUUUGGAGACUGGUUGGCUUGAGUGCGGAAGAGGCAAGUGGAAUUCCCAGUGUAGCGGUGAAAUGCGUAGAGAUUGGGAGGAACACCAGUGGCGAAGGCGACUUGCUGGGCCGUAACUGACGCUGAGGCGCGAAAGCGUGGGGAGCGAACAGGAUUAGAUACCCGAGUAGUC